rnacentral:rRNA from 1 species
AUGCACGCUGGCGGCGUGCCUCAUACAUGCAAGUCGAGCGAACGGACGAGAAGCUUGCUUCUCUGAUGUUAGCGGCGGACGGGUGAGUAACACGUGGAUAACCUACCUAUAAGACUGGGAUAACUUCGGGAAACCGGAACUAAUACCGGAUGAUAUUUUGAACCGCAUGGUUCAAAAGUGAAAGACGGUCUUGCUGUCACUUAUAGAUGGAUCCGCGCUGCAUUAGCUAGUUGGUAAGGUAACGGCUUACCAAGGCAACGAUGCAUAGCCGACCUGAGAGGGUGAUCGGCCACACUGGAACUGAGACACGGUCCAGACUCCUACGGGAGGCAGCAGUAGGGAAUCUUCCGCAAUGGGCGAAAGCCUGACGGAGCAACGCCGCGUGAGUGAUGAAGGUCUUCGGAUCGUAAAACUCUGUUAUUGGGGAAGAACAUACGUGUAAGUAACUGUGCACAUCUUGACGGUACCUAAUCAGAAAGCCACGGCUAACUACGUG